rnacentral:rRNA from 1 species
CCUACGGGAGGCAGCAGUGAGGAAUAUUGGUCAAUGGACGAGAGCCUGAACCAGUCAAGUAGCGUGAAGGAUGACUGCCCUAUGGGUUGUAAACUUCUUUUAUAUGGGAAUAAAAUGUUCCACGUGUGGGAUUUUGUAUGUACCAUAUGAAUAAGGAUCGGCUAACUCCGUGCCAGCAGCCGCGGUAAUACGGAGGAUCCGAGCGUUAUCCGGAUUUAUUGGGUUUAUAGGGCGCGUAGGUGGAUUGUUAAGUCAGUUGUGAAAGUUUGCGGCUCAACCGUAAAAUUGCAGUUGAUACUGGCAGUCUUGAGUACAGUUGAGGUAGGCGGAAUUCGUUGUGUAGCGGUGAAAUGCUUAGAUAUCACGAAGAACUCCGAUUGCGAAGGCAGCUCACUGGACUGCAACUGACAUUGAGGCUCGAAAGUGUGGGUAUCAAACAGGAUUAGAUACCCUUGUAGUC